GUCCACGCCGUAAACGAUGUCUACUAGCUGUUCGUGGUCUUGUACUGUGAGUAGCGCAGCUAACGCACUAAGUAGACCGCCUGGGGAGUACGGUCGCAAGAUUAAAACUCAAAUGAAUUGACGGGGGCCCCGCACAAGCGGUGGAGCAUGUGGUUUAAUUCGACGCAACGCGAAGAACCUUACCUACUCUUGACAUCUACGGAAGUUGGCAGAGAUGCUGAUGUGCCUUCGGGAACCGUAAGACAGGUGCUGCAUGGCUGUCGU
rnacentral:rRNA from 1 species